CCAGACUCCUACGGGAGGCAGCAGCGAGGGAUAUUGGUCAAUGGGGGAAACCCUGAACCAGCAACGCCGCGUGAGGGAAGACGGUUUUCGGAUUGUAAACCUCUGUCCUCUGUGAAGAUAAUGACGGUACCUGACUAAGAAGCCCCGGCUAACUACGUGCCAGCAGCCGCGGUAAUACGUAGGGGGCAAGCGUUAUCCGGAUUCACUGGGUGUAAAGGGAGCGUAGACGGCGACGCAAGUCUGGAGUGAAAUGCCGGGGCCCAACCCCGGAACUGCUUUGGAAACUGUGCAGCUCGAGUGCAGGAGAGGUAAGCGGAAUUCCUAGUGUAGCGGUGAAAUGCGUAGAUAUUAGGAGGAACACCAGUGGCGAAGGCGGCUUACUGGACUGUAACUGACGUUGAGGCUCGAAAGCGUGGGGAGCAAACAGGAUUAGAUACCCCAGUACG
rnacentral:rRNA from 1 species